rnacentral:pre_miRNA from 1 species
AGGAGGAACAACCACAGUGGCCAGGCCAGCUCUGGAGCCCUGGAUUCAGCUCCCACAGUAACUACGGAGCUCAGUCUGCAGGGGCCUGGAGGCUUCAGGGGAGG